UACGGAGGGUGCGAGCGUUGUCCGGAAUCACUGGGCGUAAAGGGCGCGUAGGUGGCCCCUUAAGUGUGUGGUGAAAGCCCGGGGCUCAACCCCGGGUCGGCCAUGCAAACUGGGGGGCUGGAGCACUGUAGAGGCAGGCGGAAUUCCGGGUGUAGCGGUGGAAUGCGUAGAGAUCCGGAAGAACAUCGGUGGCGAAGGCGCUCUGCUGGACCAUAACUGACACUCAGGGACGAAAGCUAGGGGAGCGAAUGGG
rnacentral:rRNA from 1 species